AUGUUUACAGAAGUUUCUUUCAAUAUUUAUUGCACUGUGUUUCUAAUUACUGAUCCAGACCAUCCACGCAGACUUGGUGGGGUACCAUGCAAGGAUGUAGGUGUCUUUCUCCUUUUCAUCUCCACAGUUCUUUACUCUGGAGGCACAAUGUGGCCCUCGGCCAUCAUUACACCCCCCUGGUGUCACACUGCAGCGAUGGAUUCUGACAAUCAGUUCCUUUAUCUCGAGUCUCCCUGGGGCUUGCCAACAAAGCUGCCUCUGUUGAAUCUUUGCCUGCCUCGACACCAUUGUUGUCAUAGCAAGGAUAGAGAUAAUUGCCUGGUUGAUUAUCCUGAGGUUGGCUUCAUCCAGCCCAUGACCACUGGGAACAGAAGGCUUAUCUCUGUCUUCAGGAGCCCUGAAGAGAUGGGUAAGAGAUUCACAUUUCUCAACUUACUGAAAGACAUUUCUGAAAGAAAAGGAUGGUCUCUGCAAGAAUGGAGGCAUUUCCAACCAAAUCCUUUUCCAAAAUACCUCCCUAAAAAUCAAAAAAAAACACUAAAAACUGUUUAAAAUUAACCCUCUUUUCCCCAAAUGAGCUCCCAUUUCUGAUUUCCCCAGUUCUAUUAUGAUGCUUUACUUUUCUCAUCCCGCGGCACUAUCACUGCCCACAAUCAAGCACAUUCUAUUACUCCUUCUUUGUAGUAUCUUGAUGCCUUUUCUAUCUGCCCCUGACUUCCCGAACCCACUCCAUCAUCUAAUUUCAGCCCCCUAUCACAUGGUCUUCAAUUCUGCAGGACUUCCUAUCUCUCAGUCUCUCCUCCACCCCAUUCAACAAGCACAUGACUCCAGAACAUAAAAUAUUGAUUACAUCACUGUCCAAUUCAGCAAUAUGCUAUGAGUGCCUUUGGCCUUCAGGAUUCCAUGCUGUUGCUGACUCACAGAGGGUCUCCACAAUUGAGCCUCACAGCCCCCAGCUGGCUGUGUAUCCCACAGCUGCCCCACGAAUCCUCUUUUCAGCCCCACGGGGAGUACUGGGCCCUCCCUGAGCUGCAGACUCAGCUUUUGUUCACACACUAACUUGCCAGGCAUGUGAAAAAUUUGAAAAUUUACAAAGACAGAAUCUGAGGUGAAAUCUGACUGCAGACACCUAGGGAUUAAAACUGAAUAUAGCAGUGAAUUUUUAUGGGGUGGGUCACCAUUCUUCCAAUUCUCAUGCUGCCCCAGAUCCAGGAGAAAUAUCCCCACUCUGUAGACAGGCCACAGCUCUCCUUUAAUGAUCCAGAAGGAAGUUCUGGAAUGAAGGGAUGGAGGGAGGGGAAGAAAGGAAGAGAGAAUAAGGAAAAGAAAAGAGUAAAAGAAAACAAAAGCAGGCACUAUACAGGAAAGGCAGGACUUAUGGGUCAAAAAGAUGGGCUUUGGAGUCAAAUAGAACCAGAUUCAAACCUCAGCUCAGACUAAUGCUGCAAGUUGGGCUCUUUACUUAACCUCCCUGAGACUGUUUCCUUAUCGGUAAACAGGGUGAAUAUCCACCUUGCAGUGUCAGUGUGAGUAUUAGAGUCAAUGUAUGUAGGUUCCCAGCCCAGAUCUUGGCUCUUAGCCUCUUGAUCUUUGCUGAAUUUCUCCACUGCCACCUCCAGCCCCAGCAGGUUCCACUGCAAGGGUGCUCAUAGGGUGGGUUCACUCUACCAGCCUCCAGUCCAGCUUCUAACCAGGACUAGAGCGUGCAGUGGGAGCCUGUUGUCUGGCCAGUGGUUACAGCUCUUCCCCCACAGAUCACAGCUCUACUUAUGCUCCCACUGAGACUUUCCCUCAGACUACAACUCAGCUGCCCAUGUACCCAAAAGCCCACCAGGUGGGACUCCCCACACCCCUUCAAAGAUCAAUGCCCCCUUGUCAUCCCUAGUGACCAGCUGCAGACCUGGGCUCCCAAGAGUGAGCAGCACUGGCUCGGGCUCGCGACAUGACAGCAGGAUGAGGCAGUCAGCCCGGAGCUGGGCUCCUGAGCCCUGCUCCCGGGACUGUCCCUGUCCCUAACAUCUCCUAACUGACUAAUCUUGAGUGUAUCUCUUCAAUUCUGUGAGCCUUGGUUUCCUAGUCUCUAAAAUGAAGACCUGCUUCCUGGGGUUGUUGUGAAGAUUAAAUAAGUUAAUGAACACAAAACAUUUAGAAUAUUGCCUGGCACACAGUGGGUAAUCGAUAAAAUAUUAGCUGUUCGAAUUAAUAAAGCCUUUCAUCAUCAAGGUCUCAGGUGCCUCACAAUCAGGCUGAUUAAGAUGGCUCCCUGUUUACCCUGGGGCUUCUUCAAAACAUCCUGCNNNNNNNNNNNNNNNNNNNNNNNNNNNNNNNNNNNNNNNNNNNNNNNNNNNNNNNNNNNNNNNNNNNNNNNNNNNNNNNNNNNNNNNNNNNNNNNNNNNAUGGCUCCCUGUUUACCCUGGGGCUUCUUCAAAACAUCCUGCUUGUUGUCAUGACCACCAUGUGCCCACAUGUGGUGCACACGCAUACAAACACACAGCCUUCAGCCUUCAGCAGUACCAACCCUGAGGCAAGAGAAGACUGAUUCCCUGGAGCCUCCAAUAACAAGCACUGUUCUCCACCAUCUCCUGAUGAAACUAAGUCAGCACUCAGCAGUAAUCCUACAUCUGCUUCACUCAGCAGACUGCCUUUGCUUCUCCCAGGUCAGCAGGGGGGAAGGUCAGAGGUCAACUGGAAUCAUCUGACCCAACCCUUUGUUGAGAGAUCAUAAAAAUUGAUGUCUUUUGGCCUGAGAUGUCUGACUUGUCAGUAUCACCUCAACUUACAGGGUAUUUCUCAACUUUACACUUUUCUUUGGCCUUACUCAGAAAGUUUACAAAUUCGAAUUCAACCUUUCCGAAAACAUUUACUGAGCGUCAGUUUUAUGCCCCGAAUUGUGCUGGGGCUGCAGGUAUAAGGAUGACUCAGAGACAGACUUUAGGUUUCAGGUUACAGUCAAGAGAGGAAAACAGGCAGCUGGACAGAUCACUUCAAUGCAAUGCGAUAUAUGCUAAGGCAGAGAAAGGCACGAGGAGCUUGGAGAGAACACAGAAGAGGCAUCCAAUCCAGCCCGUAGAUCAGGAAAUGCUGCUAGGAGAGGCAUCUUGAAGGGUGAGUAGUCAUUAACAAAAGAAUAGCAUUUUUAGAGCAUAUUGGCAUAAAGAGAAGUUGGGUCAGUUGCAGAGACAUGGAUGGACCUAGAGACCAUCAUACAGAGUGAAGUAAGUCAGAA
ensembl:lncRNA